rnacentral:lncRNA from 1 species
AGUACUUCAUCCAUUAUGAAGUUCCAUUUGUUAAAAUGGCUUAUUUUCACUUUGGUUUAUAACCUAAGUGAACGCACGCUUCCAGAGUCCCACUCUGAUGUUCCUUUCUUAAAGCAAUAAUACUCUAUCAGUUGUUUUGGUUCUGAUCCUGGGAUAUAGUAAUAUCUUAAAGUGACAACCCCUAUGGUUCUUCACUUUUGGAUAUCUACUCACAAGUCCAUACAUGUGUUCCUUUUGUGAUUUUGUGACACAUUCAUUAUAAGGGUUACGAAAGUGAUUUUCUAUCAUAUAGGAAAAUGCUUUCUUAAAUCUUCAACAUUUGAGAUUUAAUUUCCCCAAAUAACAUCCUUGAGAUAGCCUUGCUAUAUCAAUAAGUCCAAUUUCAAGUCUAUACUUCAAAAUUGACCGUGUCAUGUUUUGUCAAUUUUCGAGUAACAUCUACGUUCUAUCAAGUCUAUCAAAUAAACUUUAUUCAUAUCUUGUUGCUCAAAUUAUGACAUCACUCCCACUGACCUUGUUGUAACUUAGCAUUCAUUCAAAAACUUAACAAUUUAUAUUUUCUUGAUUUGAAUGCAUAUUGCUCCCACUAACUUGUCUUGGAUCUAUUGACAAUCAUUAAGAUCCAUUAGCUUAUUGAUGAUGUCUCAACUAUUUUGAGACUAUCAACAACUCUAGCUAACACAAGUUAUUUAAACGAAUCAUACACAAAAGAAUUCCUUCUUAAGUAAUUCCUUUUGAAAUGUGUGACUUGCUUUGUCAAGUCUAUUCAUUUAAAUUAUAUGGUGUCAUACACCAUACUACAAGUUUUAGUCAUACAAAGACCUUUAAUGUAGUCAUAUAAGAAUUAUCCAAGUCUUUAGUGGAAGCAUGGCUCCUACUAAGGAUAUAGAAACUCAACCAUUCCUUCUAGGUGGUUGAUAUAAUUCUUUAUCAAAACUACAUAGAGCGUUAUAGUUACAUAAGAUGUUGAAUUUGGAUUGUCUUGUUGUUAAACUAUAUGUUGUGACUCAUUUUGAAACUAUUCCCUUUUGUUUCAUCAAAUUUGUCAAUGAGCUUUGUCAGUGGCAAAGCCAGGAAUUGACGGGGGGAGGCGCGAAGUCAGGUAGUGAAAGGGGGACACGCGGUCCCCCCAAUAUAUAUAUAUAUUUAUUUAUUUAUAUUUUUUUUCGAAACAUACGAAACGGCGCCGUUUCAAUUAUUAUUUUUAUUUAUUUUUUUUGCCAAGACCAAAACGACGUCGUUUUGGCCUGGAUGAUUUAAAAAAAAACGCAGUAUGCUGUUGCGCGCAACAGAACCUACACAUCACCAGACCACAGGGAGCUCUGAACCCAGUGGCGGAUCCAGGAUUGUAAGAUUGGGUGGUCCAAAUCUAAAGUUCCAAAAAUUAUUAGACGAAAAAUAAUAUUCAAAAAUUAAACAAUAAACAACUUUUAUUCACAAUCUUCUUACAAACAACAUUACAAAUUACAAAGACUAAAUAUGUCCCCAACGAGAUUUCAUACUAAAAAAUAUGUCAUGAUAGAUUUAUUGUCAACUAGAGCAAAAACAUCCGUAUAUGAUUGAAACCAUCCAAUAUUGAAAUUCAACUAUUUGAUCUGGGUACAUUGGAGAGGAGACUAGUGUUACGCUGGUGGGGUGGGGUGGGGAUAAGGAAUGGUUCUCUAUUUCAAAUUUGAACUGUUUUGUUUUUGUUUUUUCAAAAAAAAAAAAAAAUUGUGAAAACUAUAUAUUAAAGAAGUGCACCAAACGCACCGUUUUACUAAGGGUGUUUUCAAACCCCCUGAGCCCUAUGUAAAACAUAGUCUUCUUCUUCCUUCUUCUAAUUUGCAGAACACCAGAAUUCUGCAGCCCCGCUCCUCUUAUCCUCCACCUUGUGCCCAGACUUGGGUGGUCCUCGACAUCCUUAUAGCAUAUUAUUUGGACUUUCGGGUGGUCCCGGGACCGCCCAGGUCCCUUAAUAGAUCCUCCCCUGAACCAGUGGGUUUUCCGGCGAGGGGAGGGGCGGACCCAGAAAUCCAGUCCUAUUUUUCGGCGAGGGGAGUGGCGGCCGCCACUCCUCGCCCUCACGUGGCUUCGCCACUGAGCUUUGUUAUUAGCUU